GGGGAGGGUUAUCUUCAGAACUACUGAGAGCUCGCAGCUGCAGUUGCUGUCUAGGAACAGCCUUUUAAGAUCUCAAGCUGAUCACUUCGCAACUCAGAUAUUUUAGUAAUAGGGAGGUGCCAAGCAUAUAGGAAAAAAGACUUCUGGAGCUGAGAUAUUGGAGACCUCAGUGAGGGUGAGUGAUGCCCAAGGGGUGUUGAGAGUGGCUCUCUGGACAUGCUUGCUCCUGGCACUGCAGCCUGUCAGUACAUGAGGCGUUAAUGAGAAGUUUAUGACGAAAGUGAGGGUCUCUACUCCUGCUAUUCUCCAUCACAGAUAUGUUUUUUUCCGCAAGAGGACAGAGGCAUCUCUUUCUGGGCAACAGGUGUGA
rnacentral:lncRNA from 1 species